rnacentral:lncRNA from 1 species
GGAGAUCGACGCAACCGAUGUGCAGAACCACUUCCUGGGGUGAGGACUUGCUUCGUCAUCAUCAUCAUCAUCCUCCUCCUGCUCCUCACCCGCUUUCACUUUGACAGCCCCCAUCUGAGAGUCGCACGAGUUUGGCCUUGUAGCGGGUACCGUCACAAGCGUAACCUGAUUCACGUCUCGAUUGUGUAUCCUGUCGAAAAGGUGCAGUGCCCCGCUGACAACGCGCUUUCUUUCGCGCAGGGAAGGGAGUUGCAGGCCCCGCGUUGACAUCGCAGACAGUUUCGGAUGGUACUGGAGGGCGAUGGGUGGAGAGGCGGUGACGCGAAUCCGCAGCCACGCGAGAGAUCGCGGUCUGUGAGUGGCUGGAGGCACCGAGCAUUGAAUGCGAGGUUGGGGAGCUUCAUGCGCACUACAGCUCCACUUGAAAUGAGACCAGGGGGCGUUGGGGAAGCCAUCUGAUCAUCACGAUUGUGGAACGACAUAUGGUUGCGAGCCCUACCCCCUCCCCUGCUCUCAUGAAAUAGCGCAUGCCUCCAAUCACCCUCCUAGUACGUUGGGAUCAUGCGCUUGUCGCCACACACGGCCAACCGAUACAGACAAACCCAUUGCUUCGAUCGGCGAGAAGCGCCCCUGCAAUCAUCUGGACUCAUGCAGCACCUCGCCUUUGAUGUCGACACGUGAGCCGCAGCACCACGACACCGACGGUGCUAUUGUCUCUGUGUAUGCGCGCUUGCUCAGAUCCUGAUCGUUAUCAAUGCAGCUUCUUCUUCUUCUUCUUCUUCUUCUUCUUCUGCCUCUUCUGCGAUCAGUAGAAUUGAACCUACACUGUGUUGCAUCCAGAGUUCUCACCGAUGAUGCCUCUCCUCCUGUGCUUCGCUGUGUGACUCUUUCCUUGACUGAUCAGACAACGAUCGAUGAGCCACCGCUAUCUUAACAAUCGCCAAACUGGGAACUUUCAACAUGACACGACUGUGUGUGUGUGUGUGUGAGCUUUGGGUUAUUAUGCUUUUGAUCUUCUACUUCUUCUUCAACAUUUUGAUGAUAAAUUAAGGAUUAAGACAGGCUUGCAUUGCGGGUUAU